UCCGGUUUGUCACCGGCAGUCUCCUUAGAGUUCCCGACAUUACUCGCUGGCAACUAAGGACAAGGGUUGCGCUCGUUGCGGGACUUAACCCAACAUCUCGCGACACGAGCUGACGACAGCCAUGCAGCACCUGUCUCACGGUUCCCUUUCGGGCACCCCUCCAUCUCUGGAGGGUUCCUAGCAUGUCAAGGGUAGGUAAGGUUUUUCGCGUUGCAUCGAAUUAAUCCACAUCAUCCACCGCUUGUGCGGGUCCCCGUCAAUUCCUUUGAGUUUUAAUCUUGCGACCGUACUCCCCAGGCGGUCAACUUCACGCGUUAGCUGCGGUACUGAGAAAUCGCUUCCCCAACACCUAGUUGACAUCGUUUAGGGCGUGGACUAC
rnacentral:misc_RNA from 1 species